ACUUUACAUAGGUUUUCACAAGAAUAUGCCAAUUAACUAAUUUUUCCCUCAACAGACUGUAAUUAACAUUUUGAUGUGCUAAUAAGUAGAUGCGGUCAUGUUUGAUUUUUCUUAUAGUUAUUUUCAAUUUUGUGAUUGUAGAUGGCAUAUUUGGAGCAAUGAUGAAGGUCAGUUUGAUUAAUGAUGGACCAGUCACUAUGCAGCUGGACUCACAAUCCCCAAAGUAUUCAAAUGAUGCAGUAGAAGAAUCAUAAUGACAGAUUAUUCCUAAAUUGUGUUUCUUAGUUUUCUUAUAUGCUGCAGUACUUGGCAAGUAGUUUAGCAGGGUGUAAGACAUGAUUUCUUAAUUAUAAGCUCUUCAUCUGUUGCUGUGA